rnacentral:rRNA from 1 species
CCUACGGGAGGCAGCAGUGGGGAAUUUUGGACAAUGGGCGCAAGCCUGAUCCAGCCAUGCCGCGUGUGGGAAGAAGGCCUUCGGGUUGUAAACCACUUUUGUCAGGGAAGAAACGGCUUUUUCUAAUACAGAGAGCUAAUGACGGUACCUGAAGAAUAAGCACCGGCUAACUACGUGCCAGCAGCCGCGGUAAUACGUAGGGUGCAAGCGUUAAUCGGAAUUACUGGGCGUAAAGCGUGCGCAGGCGGCUUUGCAAGACAGAUGUGAAAUCCCCGGGCUCAACCUGGGAACUGCAUUUGUGACUGCAUGGCUAGAGUACGGUAGAGGGGGAUGGAAUUCCGCGUGUAGCAGUGAAAUGCGUAGAUAUGCGGAGGAACACCGAUGGCGAAGGCAAUCCCCUGGACCUGUACUGACGCCCAUGCACGAAAGCGUGGGGAGCAAACAGGAUUAGAUACCCUGGUAGUCCACGCCCUAAACGAUGUCAACUGGUUGUUGGACGGCUUGCUGUUCAGUAACGAAGCUAACGCGUGAAGUUGACCGCCUGGGGAGGACGGCGCGAGUAGAACGACGAAAGAAGUAGAGCGUGAGAGAGCGACGGACGACGACGAGGGAGGAGG